rnacentral:rRNA from 1 species
GUGACUCGUCACACUAUCAUUAACUGAAUCCAUAGGUUAAUGAGGCGAACCGGGGGAACUGAAACAUCUAAGUACCCCGAGGAAAAGAAAUCAACCGAGAUUCCCCCAGUAGCGGCGAGCGAACGGGGAUGAGCCCAGAGCCUGAAUCAGCAUGUGUGUUAGUGGAAGCGUCUGGAAAGGCGCGCGAUACAGGGUGACAGCCCCGUACACAAAAGCGCAUAUGCUGUGAGCUCGAUGAGUAGGGCGGGACACGUGGUAUCCUGUCUGAAUAUGGGGGGACCAUCCUCCAAGGCUAAAUACUCCUGACUGACCGAUAGUGAACAAGUACCGUGAGGGAAAGGCGAAAAGAACCCCGGCGAGGGGAGUGAAAAAGAACCUGAAACCGUGUACGUACAAGCAGUGGGAGCCCCACCACUAAGCCAGUGGUGAACUCCACAUACGCAUCCUUUGCUGAGGAUGCGGUUAACGGAGCGAAAGCGACGUUCAACCGCAAAAGAAGCAGAGGGGGCUUAGUGGUGG